UAUAUGUAUGGGUGUGUGCGUGUGUGUGUGUACACACAUACAUAUACAUACACACACACAUACAGAUG